rnacentral:rRNA from 1 species
GAUGAACGCUAGCUACAGGCUUAACACAUGCAAGGUCGAGGGGCAGCACAGUGUAGCAAUACAUGGGUGGCGACCGGCGCACGGGUGCGUAACGCGUAUCCAACUUUCCCGUUACUCAGGGAUAGCCUUCCGAAAGGGAGAUUAAUACCUGAUGGUGUUUGAAGUUCGCAUGUUCUUCAAACUAAAGAUUUAUCGGUAACGGAUAGGGAUGCGUGACAUUAGAUAGUAGGCGGGGUAACGGCCCACCUAGUCUACGAUGUCUAGGGGUUCUGAGAGGAAGGUCCCCCACACUGGAACUGAGACACGGUCCAGACUCCUACGGGAGGCAGCAGUGAGGAAUAUUGGUCAAUGGUCGGAAGACUGAACCAGCCAAGUAGCGUGAAGGAUGAAGGUUCUAUGGAUUGUAAACUUCUUUUAUACGGGAAUAAAGCCCACUACGUGUAGUGGUUUGUAUGUACCGUAUGAAUAAGCAUCGGCUAACUCCGUG